rnacentral:rRNA from 1 species
UACAGAGGGUGCGAGCGUUAAUCGGAAUCACUGGGCGUAAAGGGUGCGUAGGCGGGUCUUAAGUCAGGGGUGAAAUCCUGGAGCUCAACUCCAGAACUGCCCUUGAUACUGGGAGCCUUGAGUUCGGGAGAGGUGAGUGGAACUGCGAGUGUAGAGGUGAAAUUCGUAGAUAUUCGCAAAGAACACCAGUGGCGAAGGCGGCUCACUGGCCCGAUACUGACGCUGAGGUGCGAAAAGCGUGGGGAGCAAACAGGG